rnacentral:lncRNA from 1 species
UUAAAAUAGCAGAAGCAAAUAAUAAUUAGGGUUUAUAUUUCUUAUACAAUAAUUUGGAAUGUCCAAUAGCACUACGAAAAUGUCUCUAAAAAGAGUUUAAAUAACAAAAACAGAAAUAAAGCUAAAAUCUUAUGGGGUUAAUCUCCAUUAGCAACUUUGAUGGAGUCCAGAAGGUAACCUUUACUUGCAACUCUCUUGAUAUUCAGGAUCUGAAUUUUGGUUUCCUUGAUAUGAAAUAAUUAAAUAGGGGGGUGAGUUACAUUACCCCAUUAAGAAUAUUACAUAAAUCACUUAUACGGAAAACCGAAAGUUGGCAAAAAUUAUAAAAACAACUAAUAGAGUCAUUUGAUUUUUUAAAUAAAUUCAUUUAAUAUAAAACUAUUUUUUCCAUACUUACCGUUACGAAUUUUCAAAAUCGAUUUAUAAGUACAAUAACUUAAAUAACAUCAUGAUUUCACAUACAAGUGAGGAGAAACAACAAAUUUCCUUUUUACCUGCUUGCUGGUACCUCUGGCGGUCCAUAGAAAUGUCCUUCAUACGCGUGAAUCUAAUAUCCAAAUUUGUUAAUCAAUCGGCCAUCUCGAUACCCCGUCUGAUAAUGAGCGCCAAACAUACUAUCGUCUCGAUACCCCGUCCGGUAUGAGCAUGAAUAAUAUCUCCCAAACUCUUUCGGGUGUGGAACUUUCCAGUCCCGUCCGACUGAAAUAACAUUUACAAUAGGAUUUUUUAUAUGCAUCAAGUCCAUCCACCCUUCUUCAGGAUACUCAGUAAGCUUUCAUACAUAAAUUCACAUUAUCAACCAAUUCCCAAUUAUAUAUUAACAUCUCAUAUUUACCAAUAAACAAUAAGUUAUGCGAAGAAACGGUACGUAAAUCAAGACAACAUAAUUGAGAUACUUAUUGCAAACGAAUCAACAAUUGGAGCUAUGCAGUUAGAUAAACUAAAUAUCUGA